rnacentral:rRNA from 1 species
CAAUACUUAGUGGCAGACGGGUGAGUAACAUGUAGGUAUCUGCCCUUUGGCCUGGAAUAACACGAGGAAACUUGUGCUAAUACCGGAUAAGUCUUUACGGAGAAAGCUUUAUGCACCAUUGGAUGAGCCUGCACUUGAUUAGUUUGUUGGUAGGGUAAUGGCCUACCAAGACUGUGAUCAAUAGCUGAUUUGAGAGGAUGAUCAGCCACAUUGGGACUGAGACACGGCCCAAACUCCUACGGGAGGCAGCAGUGGGGAAUCUUGCACAAUGGAGGAAACUCUGAUGCAGCGAUGCCGCGUGAGUGAAGAAGGCCCUUGGGUUGUAAAGCUCUUUCGUCGGGGAAGAAAAUGACUGUACCCGAAUAAGAAGGUCCGGCUAACUUCGUGCCAGCAGCCGCGGUAAUACGAAGGGACCUAGCGUAGUUCGGAAUUACUGGGCUUAAAGAGUUCGUAGGUGGUUGAAAAAGUUAGUGGUGAAAUCCCAGAGCUUAACUCUGGAACUGCCAUUAAAACUUUUCAGCUAGAGUAUGAUAGAAGAAAGCAGAAUUUCUAGUGUAGAGGUGAAAUUCGUAGAUAUUAGAAAGAAUACCAAUUGCGAAGGCAGCUUUCUGGAUCAUUACUGACACUGAGGAACGAAAGCAUGGGUAGCGAAGAGGAUUAGAUACCCUCGUAGUCCAUGCCGUAAACGAUGUGCGUUAGACGUUGGAAAUUUAUUUUCAGUGUCGCAGGGAAACCGAUAAACACACCGCCUGGGGAGUACGACCGCAAGGUUAAACUCAAAUGAAUUGACGGGGACCCGCACAAGUAGU